rnacentral:lncRNA from 1 species
UGAUGCCACAGUCACAUCAACAUGGGAUCUGAGCCGCAUCUGUGACCUAUGCUGUAGCUUCCAGCAAAGCUGGAUACUUAAGCCACUGAACAAGGCCAAGGAUUGAACCUGCAUCUUCAUAGAGUCAAUGGGUCCUUAAUCCACUGAGCCAUAAUGGGAACUCAUAAAAAUAUAUUUUAAAAGAUACCAAAAUAUUAACAAGGGGCAGGGAUAAUUAUUAGGAUUAUAGAUGAUGCAAACAUGUUUAGACCUCUCUGAUUUUUCAAAACUUCUCCAAUUAAGUUUUGAAAUAAAAAAGAAAAAUGUAGACUUUAUUAAAAAUCAAUAUUGUGAUGAACCAGAGUCAGAACUGAUUUAAUUUUGUUGUUGUUUGGUGGUAUUUGUUUGUUUGUUUUUAGCGGCACCCAUGGCAUGUGGAAUUUCCUGGGUCACAGCCGUGAUCCAAGCCGCUGCAAUGACAAUGCCAGAUCUUUAACCCACUAAGCCAAAAGAGAAUUCCCAAACUGGAUUUUUAAAAAAGGGAAUGGACAAUCUCCUUAGGUAUCUAAGAGUACAAUUUUCAUACCAAGAGCCACCCAGCAUCAAUCUAAUAUUAAAAUCUCCUGCAGCUACUGAGUAGUGGUAAGUCCUGCUCAGGUGACGCCAUAUCGACUUGAUUAGGAAUUCAACAAUUUUCCUUCUGGUCCAGGAUCAAGUCUUAGUGUUGAGCGUAUUUCAUAACUCAUCAUCCCAGUUUCCACAACUAUAAGAAAAAAGAGCUAAUCAUCUUUGCUAAGUUUACUCCCGAAGGGUGUCUGUUGAGCAUGAUAAAGAUGCAAAAAAGAAAAAAGACAGAAUUUUAAAAAAAGUUCCUCUACCUCAGUCAAUAGUUAUGUAAUAUCAUAUAUACUAUAUAUCUUUAUCAUGUUUAUUACUAUUUAUAGUAUUACAUAACCAUUGGGUCAGGAAAUUGAACUUAAAGAUUUUAGAGUGAUAACGAGAAUCGAUGUAGAAAUGAAAGAGGUUGUCUGGUCAAGUUGAGUCAACCAGACCCUUCAAUUCGCUAGACUGCUUUUCCUGAACUUCGUACUUAAUAGCAGUUUUACUCUGCAGAGGAAGAUGGGAAGGCAGAGCUCCCUUCUAGGAAACCAAGUUAUGUUGUCCUCCAACCCACCUGCAAAGGUAACAAUGUUGAGCUCAAUCUCCUGGCCAAAUUCCAGUCCAGGCAAUUACAACCUGCCCUACAAGGUCACCAGGACAAGUGGGCGGGCCAAAAGAAAGGUCCUGAGGGCCGACGGCUGCCUCGGGGGACAGGCCCUGGUGAGGAACAGGCAGAGGGCAGUCAGUCUGGUUCAUCGGUCUCGGAAACAGGUCUGGGGGAGUCGGGUCUCUGGUACACACCUUCUUGUUUGCACCUCAGGGCUCCUGGCUGACUUCCAGCCCUGCAGCCAGGAGCACUGAAGACUCACUGGGGUGGUUUCCUCCUCAUCCGUGGUCCAGGAAACCCAGAGCCAUGUCGUGCUCAGGCUGGGGAGCAGGCAGAGGCACCGCUUGGCCGGUGGUUUUUGAGGAUCCCUGCUUUUGCCAACAGCAACCCAGUUCAGCAAAUCAGAGCCAGGGCAUCUCAGGGGCUCUGCCUUCCGCCCACCCAUGGGCCCGAGCCCUUCCUACAGAGGAAGGAAACACCCUUCUGUGAGCUGCAGGGCCUUUGGCGGCUUCUGUGGACCUGUCCCAGUACCUGAGACCCUGCAUUGUUGGGGAUGCUCUGUGUGUGUGUGUGUGUGUGUCUACAUGGGAUGCCUCUGGUCAGAGGUGGGCCUGCCCACCCAGAACUUCCUGAGAGCUUCUCUCAGGGUCUGGGUGGCAGAGCUGACACUGCACAACCCACUCAACAGUCCUGUGGGAAUUGACAACGUGAGGGUGAGAGAGUAUCUAAAUCCUCACAGUCUUGGGGAAGGAGAAAAAACAGAUAAUGAGGGAGAGUGGGUGAGAGCAGAGCCAACUGCCCCAAAGGGUCCACCAGCUCUGCCUGCUGAAUCCCUGCUGUCCCCAGCCUCCUGAAUCACCUGUGUUUUUGUUUCCUCACCUGUAACAUGGAAGUAUAAUUCUACUUGGCUCAAGGGGUGGCUGUGGGGCUCAAAGGUUGAUAAAUAUAAGAUGCUUAGGAGAGGCACCAUGUGAGGGUCUGCUAUUAUUACUGCUGUUGUUGUUGUUGUCAGUGGAAAGUUGAAGGAGAAAGUUUAGGUGUGUGUGUGUGUUUUUUUUUUUUUCUUUCGCUUGUUUUGUUUUAGCACGAGAGGCUCUCAGGCAUGUUAUGAGCAGAGAGGGGAGCUGGGCUCACAGGAGUAGAGGCAGGGAGCUGGGUGUGGAGGGUAUAAGUCUGCAGGUGAGCGUGCAGGUCUGGCUGCCCAAGGAGAGAGGCAGAUGGGCCGAUGGGGAGGAGGACCAGCUGGAACAGAUGAGGUGGGGAAGGUAGGGGCUGCCUCAAGGUCAAGUAAAUGAGUUUGGAACCUAUGAUUUCCUGACCAGCUCCUGGGCUGACAGUGGUGAAGGUGGUAGUAGUGUUGGCCCCUGGCUGGAGUGUAGACCCUUCUGGGAAAGGAGAGAGGCCAAGGGAGGAGCAAGGGCAUAGCUAAGAGACCCACAGUUGGUCUUAGAGGAAGGGAUGGAUGCAGAGACUGGAGUGAAAGGAGCGUUGGGGGCUUUGGAAAUUUCUGGAAGUGGACCAGUGGCUGCAUGAGUAACCAGGGAAGAAAGAGCUGGAAAGCACAGGCACGGAAGGAUAACUGAGAACUGGAUCCCAAAAGCACAUGGACUGAGGGGUGAACCUGAGCUCUGGAUGGAAUGUUGACAGUCAGACCCAGCCCUGGGGCAGUUUAUUAAAAUGCAGGAAACACAGAAAACAGUUAUUCAAAUCUACCAACAUCCAGCUCCUCCCUGACUUCCAUGAGAGGCAGAACAUGAAUCUCAAAAAGCCAAACCUCAAUCAAGGACCCUCAACCUGACCUUGGCUCUCCCGAGUAAACUUCUGUACUAUCAUCAGCAUCAUUCUGAGCAGGUGUACACAUGAGGUUGGGGUCUGACUUUCCUUCAUGUCUCUCAACACAUUUUAUUAUCUAUACACAGAUUCUGUGGAUUUUAAUACCAUAUAGAAGCCAAUCAGCUUUGGAGAACAGAAAGUUUUCUUCCCCACCUCUCUGAAGAUAUUCUCCAGAGAGUUAUUUCCAAAGGGGAAGAUCACGAAAUAGCUCUCGUUUACACAUCUGUUCAGCUAAUCCCAGUGUGUGCGUGUCCUGAACAAGUAAUAAAAGGAGGGUGUACUGUUAACUCAGUUGGGGGAACAGAGUUAAAUACAAAUGGGAAGUUUGUAUUCUUGCAGAACUUCUGAGAGCCUUUAAUGUACCGAUGGGUUUUGUGACUCUUCCAGAAGGGGCUUUGUGGGCAGCAGAAAUAUACCUGCCAUAAGCAUCUCCAGGACAAAUCUUCUGGGGGCUCUUCUUUGGAAAAAGUCUCUUUGGUAAUGCCCCCUCACCCUCUUGAGGAGGCAUGUGCCCAAGAAAGUAAGGCGACUUGGUCAGACCCGUGAAACUAGUGAGCCACAGAACUAGGAUGAGUGCAAAACCAGUCUGAAGGGGCCCCUUGGCAAUAAAGAUCUCAUCCCUGGGCAGAUUGUUCACCUUUUCAAAGAGGCCACUUUGAGUAAAUGUCUCUGUGUAGACACAGGCUUAUCCAACCUGCCUAUGUAUUUGAACUACAGCAAUCUCUCUUGCAAUUUCCAGGCUAGGCACUACACCACAGCCAUAGCAACACCAGAUGGGAGGUGCAUCUGCAACCUAUGCUUCAGCUUGCAGCCAUGCUGGGUCCUUAACCCACUGAGCGAGGUCAGGGAUUAAACCCACAUCCUCACAGACACUAGUCAGGUUCUUAACCUGCUGAGCCACAUGGAAACUCCUGUACCACACCUUUUUUAUUGAUUCCUCUGUGGAUGGUUCAAGCCAUCUCUUGAAUGGGCACGGAGAAGGCAGUAGGACAUUCCGGGAUGUGGCUUGAUGGUCUGGGAUGUCUGUCCCAUGCUUGGCAUCAGGACACUCAGAAGGUCCCAGGGAGGAGGGCACAGCCAGCAAGACUUGUACAGAAGAGGGAAGAGGAGGGUGACCAAAUGGCAGCUGUUGUAAAAUUUGCCUGCGUUCUAGAAAGGGGGGUGGCUACCACAUCUUCCCCUCCAGCACAUGGCGCCUUUAUCUAAGGACUCAGAUCUUCAGUAACUUCUGUAGUUGGCCUGUGACUGGGGCUAUCCCAUAAGUGUAGUUCCCAUGUUUCACCUUAUUUUAAUAGAAAACUUGACUCAGGCUCCAAACAACUGACUCAUCAGUGCUCUAGAGGAGAGAAGCUGGUUACAGGAAGCAGUGGACAUGUAGCAACAUUGGCUCCAGAUUGGCCAUGUCACCUUGGAUUGCAGAUGGAGAGCAGUGGGAAUACAAUCAACUGUACCUAAGGUCUAUCCUUGGCAAACUCAUCAAAUAGAAAUCAUUUCCAGUCUGUCUAGCAUCCCAGUUUUGUCUCCUUCCUACUGAAUGGCUCUUUGCAGGCUUCUGAGGCUGUGAUGAGGUGGCCAGGCUACUUGAGCAGUUCUGAAGACUGAACAAACUUUGAGGGUACUCUUGUCAUCAAAUAAACUCACAACAAAGUUAACCUAAUACACAUGCAAUGGUGUCUGUAAUUGCUAUUGGAUUGCAUAGUGUGGAGUCAAACAGCUCCUGUGUUGGAGUCUUUAUGAUGGAGUCUUUCAAAGACCCAAGCUUAACUCUGCUGUGUCAUUAAAUAGUUCUCCACCUUGAGUUCACCUCUCUGAACCUCAGUUUUGUCAUCUAUAAAAUGGGGACAACACCUAGCCCAUGGGGUUCUUAUGAGGUGAAUGGGAAAUGAUGCAAGUAAAACAGUCCUCUCGUCCAGGGCUUGGAAUACAGUGGGUGCUCAAUAGAUGCUCCUUUGUUUCCUCCUUCCUGUAUGAUCCCUGAGCAUACAUGGUAGGCACUUGACUUUCAUCCAGUUAACCCCUGUGGAAAACCCUUUCUUGUACUUGUUAUGAGUACUUGUUAUGAGCACUGAUAUUUGCGUUCAUAUUUGGGCCACCACCAUCUGUGUAUCUCACUAUGGGUUUGAAGAGCAAGUUCUUUCUACCAGGGGGACAUGGCCAAUCUCAAUAAAUCAGCCCUAGUCUUUCCAAGCCUAGGAACCAAGGGCCAGUGUGGUCAUUUCAGACCCCAUUUUGGGGGGCCAGGAGGCUCCAGGCAUAAAGGGGCCAAGACAGGAGGCCCCCUAAUAGUCCUCCAGACACCCAGGCAUCCUGGUCUCUUUCUUGUCCUCCCACAGAGGGAAUGGAUCUAAGUGAGCUGCCUGAGGGCCUGUAAUAUCAGAAUCUCUGGGCCUUAAACCAGAUAGAUAUUCUCUGCGUGUGUCUGCGGGCUGAUGCAAGAUGCCCAUGACCUUGGGAUGGAAUGGGAGGCUGUGUAGCUCAGAAAGGGAUGAGUGAUGGUGAGACAGCAGGUGAUGGGAUGGCUGAAGGGUGUGAGUAGAGGAGGGGUGAGGGGUGCAAGGAGUGGAUGGUGGGGGCCUCCCUCAGAGCUAAGCCGGGCUCACCUGUGCUGUGGGAGGCAUGAAGAAGGCAGGGCCCGUGCCAGCCUUCAUUUCCCUGUACCCAGACCUUCCCUACAGCUAAGAAUGAGAAACACCUCUGGUAGGGGUCAAGCCCUUCAUUCCACAGGAAAAUCAGAGACCCCAGCACAGGUGGACUUAAUCUCAAAAUGUUCUCAGAACCCCUCUAGAAUGAAGAACAAAAAGCUGGAUGCAGUGGGGGAGACCCAUGUGAGCAAAAGGGCCUGGGGGAAGAGGAAUGGGAUCUAGAAAUCACCUGUUUGCAGAGCAUAGGAGCAGCAACACACACACAUGGAUGAAGGAUCAGGCUCAUUUUUAUCCACGCCUGAACCAGAAGGUCCAAACCAGAAAAUCUGAGAAGGAACCAGGCACAGUUGUGAAACACGGCAAGAAUACUGAACCAGCAAUGAGGAUGUCCAAGGUCAGCUCAUCAUGCUGCCCUGUGUGACUUUGAAUAAAUUACUUCAUCUCUCUGAGCCAGAAGGUGCUGAUCUAUGAAAGCGGCCAGGAACGAGCAGGGGCCUGAGGUCUGUCCUGCUGUGACUUGCUCUGGGUCAGUGUUUGGGGCCUGUGUUCUCAAUCUUUCUCAUUGUUCUAUGUCUCCAAUUCACUAAAAGCAUAACAAGCUUUCAGGAAGGGAUCAGUGAUCCCUUCCCUCUGGGUCCCGAUGACCCACAAACCUUCUGGAGAGAGAACUGAAAUCCUCAGUCAAAGAAUGGAAGUUCAGUAGUGGAGCUGCCCAUGAUUAUUAGGGUGAUCUGAUACUACUCGAAUUACUACUCAAUUUGGGGGACUAGAUAAAGGCGCUCUAGCUAUACACAGGUCCAUGAGUGUGGAACUUGGUGAACAGAAGAUCUCUUUGUUUGAAGAUGGCACCUCUUGCUCUGGGCAGUCAUGCCCCAUGCUGUGACUUCUGAGCAGCAAGUGGAGCCCAGGCUGGAUUUCAGCCUCCACAAUCCCCUCAGCUGGUUGCCUUGUGCAGUGCCCAACCUGCUCAGCCAUCUACAGUGAACCUGCAUGAGACCAGGAGCCCCUCAGGGAGAGCAGCUUAUCUCAAUUUGGGGGGAGGGGAUAGGACUUAGCUUAGGGCUGGCUCUCCAAGGACCCUUGGCUAAGUUUUGUUGUUUGAAUAAAGGCAGCUUGAUUUGCUUUCAGAUUUGGAAGAAAGCAAAAAAAAAUUUCACCUGAACAACUUCAGCUGCAGUCUUCAUAGGUCUCUACUGCCUUGGGGAUGAAGUCCUACCACCUGGCUUAGGCUGGCCGGGAAUAAUUUAGACUAGUCUGACCAACCCAUCCCCACAUCACAUUCCCCUUUGGUCAAAGUGAUCAGCUCAUUGUACUCAACCUUGUACUUGGCAUUUCCUGCCUUGCAUAGGCUGUUCCCCUUUUCUAGAUUACUUUUCCCUGCUCUCCUCUUAAUGUUUAAAUGAUGACUUGGCCUGAGGCCUCUGUAAUGGCUCUAGCCAUGUUGUGACCUGCCAGCUCUGAACUGCUAUAGCAUUACUAUAUGUAUAAGUUCAAUCUUGUACAGUUUUAGGAUGCUACCAAGCUAUUCAUGUGCACCUGUCUUUUGUCCCCAGUGAUACUGUAACUUUUGGGGGCAGAAGCUAUAUAGGCCUCUUUUGCAUCUAUAAGAGGCCUGGUAUAAUAUUGUCAAUGUGCAGAGCAAGUGAACAACAAAUUGAUAUAAAAUGCUAAUGCUUAGGAAAUAAAAAUGAUUUGGCAUGUGUUUGUAUGCAUGUGUGUAUGUAUUGGUUAAGCCCUUGGCAUGUGAAAGUUCCCAGGCCAGGGAUCAAACCCCGAGCCACAGCAGUGACAAUGCCAGAUCCUUAACCACUAGGCCAGCAGGGAACUCUCUGGAGUGCAGUUUUAAAAGUCCUACAGUUCUUUGGGAAAAUAUUGAGAUUAUCUACACUUGGGUAAAAUGUUUUCAAAUCAUAGUCAGUACAUGAGGUGAAGUUCCCUGAUCUCUGGCUUUUGCAGGUCCUACAGGAUCAUAUGGCACAGCCCCUGAGAUGCUCUUCUUGGCAGCAACCAGGGAACAGGAUUGACAGAUGACCUCUUGCCUGGUUAAUCAUAAACCCAAAAUGACAGAAGCAAAGACUGUCACCAGAACAAAGGGACAGUUAAUACUGUCCCUUGCACAUAGACUCACUGGGAAACCCAUUUACUGAUUGGCUAGCACACAGCACAAACUUUCUCUUGCACCCAGAAUAUCCUAGCAGAGGGCUGCUUAUCUGAAAGAUGUCAUUUUUGCAAGCAGAUAAUGGUCCAUUUGCACAGUCUUGGAGGUUCCAGGAUCCUAGAGUUUCCAAAUUUCAGAUUUUUCGAAUGUAUAAAACAUUAAAACGAGCCAUGCCCUCCCCCUAAAUGAUUCAGUGACAUAUCUAUAGCAAAGAAAGAACUGAAAAAGGAUUAUUUCCUAAAUCCUGAAAACUUACAAGUGGUUUUGAAUAGAAAUACCAUGGUUUUUGGUCUGUUCUCUAUAGAAAGUUUUUGCCAUUUCCUCCUAGACCUUAUUCACCAGAGAGCCUGGAAACAGAGAGAAGAAUGGUCUCUUGUGCAUAUGUCAUCACAGAAUCAUCCAUUUCCU